UACGUAGGGUGCGAGCGUUGUCCGGAAUUACUGGGCGUAAAGCGCGCGCAGGCGGCUAUCCAAGUCAGUGGUGAAAGCCCGGAGCUCAACUCCGGAACUGCCAUUGAAACUGUUUAGCUUGAGGACGAGAGAGGUGAGUGGAAUUCCCAGUGUAGAGGUGAAAUUCGUAGAUAUUGGGAAGAACACCGGUGGCGAAGGCGGCUCACUGGCUCGUAUCUGACGCUCAGGCGCGACAGCGUGGGGAUCAAACAGG
rnacentral:rRNA from 1 species